GACGAACGCUGGCGGCGUGCCUAAUACAUGCAAGUCGAGCGAAUGACGAGAAGCUUGCUUCUCUGAUUUAGCGGCGGACGGGUGAGUAACACGUGGGCAACCUGCCCUACAGAUCGGGAUAACUCAGGGAAACCUGGGCUAAUACCGGAUAAUACUUCGAAUCACAUGUUUUGAAGUUGAAAGGCGCUUCGGCGUCACUGUAGGAUGGGCUCGCGGUGCAUUAGCUAGUUGGUGGGGUAACGGCCCACCAAGGCAACGAUGCAUAGCCGACCUGAGAGGGUGAUCGGCCACAUUGGGACUGAGACACGGCCCAAACUCCUACGGGAGGCAGCAGUAGGGAAUCUUCCACAAUGGACGAAAGUUUGAUGGAGCAACGCCGCGUGAGUGAUGAAGGUUUUCGGAUCGUAAAACUCUGUUGUAAGGGAAGAACAAGUACGUUAGGAAAUGAACGUACCUUGACGGUACCUUAUUAGAAAGCCACGGCUAACUACGUGCCAGCAGCCGCGGUAA
rnacentral:rRNA from 1 species